UACGAAGGGGGCUAGCGUUGUUCGGAAUUACUGGGCGUAAAGCGCGCGCAGGCGGCUAUCCAAGUCAGUGGUGAAAGCCCGGAGCUCAACUCCGGAACUGCCAUUGAAACUGUUUAGCUUGAGGAUGAGAGAGGUGAGUGGAAUUCCCAGUGUAGAGGUGAAAUUCGUAGAUAUUGGGAAGAACACCGGUGGCGAAGGCGGCUCACUGGCUCAUUACUGACGCUCAGGCGCGAAAGCUAGGGGAGCAAACGGG
rnacentral:rRNA from 1 species